rnacentral:rRNA from 1 species
CAUUCAACUUGAGAGUUUGAUCCUGGCUCAGGACGAACGCUGGCGGCAGGCCUAACACAUGCAAGUCGAACGAGAAGCCACCCUUCGGGGUGGUGGGCAGUGGCGAACGGGUGAGUAACGCGUGGGAACCUGCCCUUCGGUACGGGACAACCGCGGGAAACUGCGGCUAAUACCGUAUACUCCCUAAGGGGGAAAGAUUUAUCGCCGAAGGAUGGGCCCGCGUCCGAUUAGCUUGUUGGUGAGGUAAUGGCUCACCAAGGCUCCGAUCGGUCGCUGGUCUGAGAGGAUGAUCAGCCACACUGGGACUGAGAUACGGC